CCUACGGGAGGCAGCAGUGAGGAAUAUUGGUCAAUGGGCGCGAGCCUGAACCAGCCAAGUCGCGUGCGGGAUGACGGUUCUAUGGAUCGUAAACCUCUUUUGUAAGGGAGUAAAGUCUGGUACGUGUCCUUUUCUGUAAGUAUCUUAUGAAUAAGGAUCGGCUAACUCCGUGCCAGCAGCCGCGGUAAUACGGAGGAUUCAAGCGUUAUCCGGAUUUAUUGGGUUUAAAGGGUGCGUAGGCGGCCUGUUAAGUUAGCGGUGAAAGUCUGUGGCUCAACCAUAGAAUUGCCGGUGAAACUGGUGGGCUUGAGAGUGUUUGAGGCAGGCGGAAUGUGUGGUGUAGCGGUGAAAUGCUUAGAGAUCAUACAGAACCCCGAUUGCGAAGGCAGCUUGCCAAGCCAUGACUGACGCUGAGGCACGAAAGCGUGGGGAUCAAACAGGAUUAGAUACCCGAGUAGUC
rnacentral:rRNA from 1 species